rnacentral:rRNA from 1 species
UACGUAGGGUGCGAGCGUUAAUCGGAAUUACUGGGCGUAAAGCGUGCGCAGGCGGUUUUGCAAGCCGGAUGUGAAAUCCCCGGGCUCAACCUGGGAAUGGCAUUUGGGACUGCAAGGCUCGAGUGCGGCAGAGGAGACUGGAAUUCCUGGUGUAGCAGUGAAAUGCGUAGAUAUCAGGAGGAAUACCGAUGGCGAAGGCAGGUCUCUGGGCUGGCACUGACGCUCAUGCACGAAAGCGUGGGGAGCAAACAGG